rnacentral:rRNA from 1 species
UACGUAAGGUGCAAGCGUUGUUCGGAAUUAUUGGGCGUAAAGGGCUCGUAGGCGGCCUGCCAAGUCUUUCGUGAAAUUCCAGGGCUCACCCCUGGCGCUGCGAGGGAAACUGGCAAGCUUGAAUCUUGGAGGGGGUACUGGAAUUCCUGGUGUAGGGGUGAAAUCUGUUGAUAUCAGGAAGAACACCUGAGGCGAAGGCGAGUACCUGGCCAAAGAUUGACGCUGAAGAGCGAAAGCGUAGGUAGCGAACAGG